rnacentral:tRNA from 1 species
GCGUGAGAAGCGAACUAUUGCAUUCGGUUUCGGCCCGUACUUUGGAGAAUAUAAAUUCUUCCUCACGCU